CACAAAUAUUUCUCUAAAUGUGAAUAAAAAGUGAUUUUUUUUAGGGCUAAAUGUGGAGAAAUGUUGUUGUUAUUUAUAGUGUGCGUAACUUUACAAUCGGCGCCCCAUAAACGUGUCAUAAGGAACUGUACGGUUUCUGUAAAAACACAAACUUUCUUGCAUGUUUCAUGACUGGCUAGCUGUGUCAGGUAACUCCAACAGGCUGUGUGACAUCAGUGGUGUAGUGCAGCAGGUAUACAGAGACUUAUCUUUCAGCCUCCAUAGGGUAUAUACCCACUUCCAAAUCCAAAUAUUCUGGAGCUGCAUUUUUUUCCCUAGGAUGUUGAAGGGAUGACCCUCCCUACUCUGUCUCAAAUCCAGUAGGCUAAAAUAAUCCACCAUAAUUCUGAAGACUAAAGUUAUUUUUUAUUGUCUUUUCUUUGACAGAGGACUUUGCGACGGCCUCUCGCUGCCAGUGUUCACCGAACUGCCCGGGCACUUAGAGUCAAUGUCGCAACGCAGGUCACCAAGAAGAUGGUAUCUGUAGGCACACAGGUUCCCCACCCUUCAUAUACAAGCUCCAUCGGGACCCAGCUGUCAUAUAGGAAGCUGAAGCAUGUGAGGAGUAAAGGUACUCAGGCCACAGUUUCCCAUUUCAGUGUUGGCACAAAGACCACCCCUCGAGUCUUAGGGUUUCCACCAUCCUCCAGACCAGCAAAGGGUUCUGCUUCUGUACCUGGUGCUAGACCUGCCAAGAGGCCUUGCCUAGAUUGUUUUGAGGAGAAGGAGGAGAGCAUGACACCCAAGUCCACAUGUCAGCCAGGGGAGUCUUUGACAGAACCAUCGCAAGUGAGUGAGAUAACAUCUACGACUCGUCACAAUGAGCCUAAAUACAGGGUCCUUGAGAGCUGCCUCAGAGAGCUCUUCCAGACCUGUCCAUUGUGCAAACAACACUGUGACGUGCAGCAGCAGAAACCCGGGACCUAUGUGACCUUCACUCAACUAUGCCCCAACUGCCAGUAUACAAGAAGAUGGCAGAGCCAGCUGAUCCGAGGCAGCACACCUGUUGGAAACUGGCAGAAGUCUGCAGCAUCCUUGAACUAGAAAAGCAUUUGCUCUGCUUUGUUGUCGGAUCUGCAAAGCCAUAAAUCUAUGUGACAUCUUCAGGAGGCAUUCAAGGGUGUAUCUCUAAUCUGCUAUGAAUCACAAAUGGAAGAAGGAUCAAGGGACCACGCCUCAGGAUCUGAAACAGAAAGGCAAAGUUGCAUCGGCUGAGCCUGUAUGCAAAGCAUUUCAAUGAGAAAGCAGAGUGGGAACAGGCGAGGACUACUGAGGGCAAACCAGUCUCGUUUCCAAGCCAGUCAAGACAGAGCCGAC